CAAAAACAUCGCCUCUUGAAACACUUAAGCAUAAGAGGUCCCGCCUGCCCGGUGACUAUGAGUUCAACGGCCGCGGUAUUCUGACCGUGCAAAGGUAGCGCAAUCACUUGUUUUUUAAAUGAAGACCUGUAUGAAUGGCACCACGAGGGCUUAACUGUCUCCUUUUUCCCGUCAAUGAAAUUGAUCUCCCCGUGCAGAAGCGGGGAUUAACCCAUAAGACGAGAAGACCCUAUGGAGCUUCAGGCUCCAGAACAGACUAUGUUAAAUACCUGACAUAAAAGACAAAACCUAUUAGAUCCUGUUCUAAUGCCUUUGGUUGGGGCGACCGCGGGGAAACAAAAAACCCCCAUGUGGACUAGGAGCACAACCCUCCCACAACCCAGAGUAACAACUCUAAGUAACAGAAUAUCUGACCAACAAAUGAUCCGGCACAGCCGAUCAACGGACCGAGUUACCCUAGGGAUAACAGCGCAAUCCCCUUCUAGAGCCCAUAUCGACAAGGGGGUUUACGACCUCGAUGUUGGAUCAGGACAUCCUAUUGGUGCAGCCGCUAUUAAGGGUUCGUUUGUUCAACGAUUAAAGUCCUACGUGAUCUGAGUU
rnacentral:rRNA from 1 species